UAUUUCGGGACAGAUUAAUGAUUAACAAUUUGUUCUGAUUAUAAAAAUUACAAGUCUAUGAACGACCUCCAAGACGGGGAAUGCUGUGUUAUACAGGAUGUAUGAAUAUGAUGGGGAAACGCCGAAAGGAUAGUAUACUGCAGUGAGCGAAAUGCGAACACGCCGGAGUGAAAAAUGCAUAAUAACAAUAGUAUUAUUUAACGAUGCACAAUAAUAAUUGUUGAACUGGCCGUCUGAAUCUGGGGUUAGAUAUAAAUUAAGAUAAUGUUAUGGUUAUAAAUGUGUUUAAGUCACAACAUUAUAAGAAAUCACACCACGCAGUAACGUAAAAAAAAAAUUGUAAAUAUAAUUGACCUAUUAUAACCGCUAA